CUGCGUUGUUCUCUUCCUCUCCACUUCUCUCUUGCUUCGACCGAGAGCCACAAAGGCUCGAUUCAACGCCGCCAGACCGACCACGGCCAGAUAAGGGCUCCGGUAAGGGGCCAAAACCUAAUACAGUCGUCUUUCAUCCUUCCAGACCGAGACUUCUUAAAAUUUACUCAAGACACAUUGUUUGGGACUUAACUAUCCAUCCACUUAUCCUCUCAACCACGAGGACCUCCACCCCGACCAUGAGAGCUUGCAAUACUAAGGUUCCAAGCGACAAAAGGAGUCGACCUAUUACCGGAGACGCGAACUACCCAGACAAAGAGAAACCAACCUAUAUAUUAGCUAACAGUGGCGAUGGCUUGAGAUAUUGGCGUGAUUGGUUGCUGCAUGGAUGGGAACACCUCUUGUGCUUAAACUUUAUAUUUAGGCUGUUGGAUUUUUAUUGGGCUUGCAUUGAGCUCCUGGAAUUCUUUUGUUGUAGAGGGCUUGAACUUUAGGCCUACAUAAAUAAUAGAAGGAAGUCGAGAACUGUUCGCCGGCGUAUGGAGCGGCUGCGGUCGGUGGAAGAAAUAAGUCAGGAACAAUUAAAGAUCAUAAUGCAGCAGAGCAUGUGGACACAGCUCCGCCUCACGUUCCAAAUUUCAAGACCCGCAGAAAACGAAGAUUUAGCCGAGCCGCUCAACUCACUGCCGCUUUCCGGUUGUUCUCUAUAUAUUUAUAAUCUGGUACUGAGAGAGGAUCAGCUUCAAGGCCCUUAAACAAAUCAACGACAACUCUGCUUCUUCCACCGGUUGUCAAUUGCUGUUUUCCCUUUUUCUGUUUCUUUUUCCUUUAUUCUUCUUUUGUUUCUCCCUACUUUUUUGUUUGAAUCACACAUGGCUGAGGUCAAUGGGAAUCAAUCAGAGGUUGAUUGGGAAGGCAAGUAAACCCUGAACCACUGAGCCAACACCAACAUUCAGUUAAAAUAUAUAACAUGUUGUAUAUACUGUAUAUCAUUUCGUAUA